rnacentral:lncRNA from 10 species
UUUGGCCUCUCUUUUAAUUAUUUCUUAGACUCAUAUCACUAUUUUCAUAGGCUCUAGGAGAGGCUGGAACAUGUCGAAAGAAUGCUGUGCUGCUAGAAAUUUUGUAAUUUUUCUACAUCAGCUCUGAUAAGCUCCUGGAUUCCCUUCCAAACAUUUGUAACAUAGGAAGACUUUCCCAAUCUCCGAGGACUUUCUGUCUUCCCUCUUUCCAUCUGAGAUGCCUUUUCACCAGACUCUGGAACUUCUGCAUUCAGGGUCGUGUCUGAAGCCAAAGUCAGGGACAUGGAUGGAGCUGGAAGCCAUUAUUCUCAGCAACCUAAUGAAGGAAGAGAAGAAGACCAAUUAUUGCGUGUUCUCACUUGUAAGUGGGAGCUGAAUAAUGAGAACACAUGGACACAUGGAGGGGAACAACACACACUGGCCCUGUCAGAGUGUGGGUGUGGAGGAGGGAGAGCAUCAGGAAGAAUAGCUAAUGGAUGCUAGUCUUAAUACCUAGGUGAUGGGAUGAUCUGUACAGCAAACCACCAUGGCAAAUGUUUACUUAUGCAACAAACCUGCACAUCCUACACACGCACCCCUGAACUUAAAAAAGAUAAAAUAAAAUAAUAAAAAUGUGCUCAAUUAAAAAUGAAAGUUAGAACUUAUUUGUAAAGAGGGUUUUUUAAAGUUGACAUAAAAUAAGCCAUUAUCCAUUUAUUGCAAAGGAACUGAGUUUACAGCAAAACAUAAGUCAAG